rnacentral:rRNA from 1 species
UUAAGCGACCAAGCGUACACGGUGGAUGCCCUGGCAGUCAGAGGCGAUGAAGGACGUGCUAAUCUGCGAAAAGCGCCGGUAAGGUGAUAUGAACCGUUAUAACCGGCGAUGUCCGAAUGGGGAAACCCAGUGUGACUCGUCACACUAUCAUUAACUGAAUCCAUAGGUUAAUGAGGCGAACCGGGGGAACUGAAACAUCUAAGUACCCCGAGGAAAAGAAAUCAACCGAGAUUCCCCCAGUAGCGGCGAGCGAACGGGGAGGAGCCCAGAGCCUGAAUCAGCAUAUGUGUUAGUGGAAGCGUCUGGAAAGGCGCGCGAUACAGGGUGACAGCCCCGUACACAAAAGCGCAUGUGCUGUGAGCUCGAUGAGUAGGGCGGGACACGUGGUAUCCUGUCUGAAUAUGGGGGGACCAUCCUCCAAGGCUAAAUACUCCUGACUGACCGAUAGUGAACCAGUACCGUGAGGGAAAGGCGAAAAGAACCCCGGCGAGGGGAGUGAAACAGAACCUGAAACCGUGUACGUACAAGCAGUGGGAGCAUGAGUUUACUCAUGUGACUGCGUACCUUUUGUAUAAUGGGUCAGCGACUUAUAUUCUGUAGCAAGGUUAACCGUAUAGGGGAGCCGGAGGGAAACCGAGUCUUAAUUGGGCGUUAAGUUGCAGGGUAUAGACCCGAAACCCGGUGAUCUAGCCAUGGGCAGGUUGAAGGUUGGGUAACACUAACUGGAGGACCGAACCGACUAAUGUUGAAAAAUUAGCGGAUGACCUGUGGCUGGGGGUGAAAGGCCAAUCAAACCGGGAGAUAGCUGGUUCUCCCCGAAAGCUAUUUAGGUAGCGCCUCGUGAAUUCAUCUCCGGGGGUAGAGCACUGUUUCGGCCAGGGGGCCAUCCCGGCUUACCAACCCGAUGCAAACUGCGAAUACCGGAGAAUGUUAUCACGGGAGACACACGGCGGGUGCUAACGUCCGUCGUGAAGAGGGAAACAACCCAGACCGCCAGCUAAGGUCCCAAAGUCAUGGUUAAGUGGGAAACGAUGUGGGAAGGCCCAGACAGCCAGGAUGUUGGCUUAGAAGCAGCCAUCAUUUAAAGAAAGCGUAAUAGCUCACUGGUCGAGUCGGCCUGCGCGGAAGAUGUAACGGGGCUAAACCAUGCACCGAAGCUGCGGCAGCGACACUGUGUGUUGUUGGGUAGGGGAGCGUUCUGUAAGCCUGCGAAGGUGGCCUGUGAGGGUUGCUGGAGGUAUCAGAAGUGCGAAUGCUGACAUAAGUAACGAUAAUGCGGGUGAAAAACCCGCACGCCGGAAGACCAAGGGUUCCUGUCCAACGUUAAUCGGGGCAGGGUGAGUCGACCCCUAAGGCGAGGCCGAAAGGCGUAGUCGAUGGGAAACGGGUUAAUAUUCCCGUACCUGGUGUUACUGCGAAGGGGGGACGGAGAAGGCUAUGUUGGCCGGGCGACGGUUGUCCCGGUUUAAGCGUGUAGGCUGGUUUUCCAGGCAAAUCCGGAAAAUCAAGGCUGAGGCGUGACGACGAGGCACUACGGUGCUGAAGCAACAAAUGCCCUGCUUCCAGGAAAAGCCUCUAAGCCUCAGGUAACAUCAGAUCGUACCCGAAACCGACACAGGUGGUCAGGUAGAGAAUACCAAGGCGCUUGAGAGAACCCGGGUGAAGGAACUAGGCAAAAUGGUGCCGUAACUUCGGGAGAAGGCACGCUGACACGUAGGUGAAGCGGUUUACCCGUGGAGCUGAAGUCAGUCGAAGAUACCAGCUGGCUGCAACUGUUUAUUAAAAACACAGCACUGUGCAAACACGAAAGUGGACGUAUACGGUGUGACGCCUGCCCGGUGCCGGAAGGUUAAUUGAUGGGGUCAGCGCAAGCGAAGCUCCUGAUCGAAGCCCCGGUAAACGGCGGCCGUAACUAUAACGGUCCUAAGGUAGCGAAAUUCCUUGUCGGGUAAGUUCCGACCUGCACGAAUGGCGUAAUGAUGGCCAGGCUGUCUCCACCCGGGACUCAGUGAAAUUGAACUCGCUGUGAAGAUGCAGUGUACCCGCGGCAAGACGGAAAGACCCCGUGAACCUUUACUAUAGCUUGACACUGAACACUGGUCCUUGAUGUGCAGGAUAGGUGGGAGGCUUUGAAGUGUGGACGCCAGUCUGCAUGGAGCCGUCCUUGAAAUACCACCCUUUAAUGGCUGGUGUUCUAACGUAGACCCGUGAACCGGGUUGCGGACAGUGUCUGGUGGGUAGUUUGACUGGGGCGGUCUCCUCCUAAAGCGUAACGGAGGAGCACGAAGGUUGGCUAAUCCUGGUCGGACAUCAGGAGGUUAGUGCAAUGGCAUAAGCCAGCUUGACUGCGAGCGUGACGGCGCGAGCAGGUGCGAAAGCAGGUCAUAGUGAUCCGGUGGUUCUGAAUGGAAGGGCCAUCGCUCAACGGAUAAAAGGUACUCCGGGGAUAACAGGCUGAUACCGCCCAAGAGUUCAUAUCGACGGCGGUGUUUGGCACCUCGAUGUCGGCUCAUCACAUCCUGGGGCUGAAGUAGGUCCCAAGGGUAUGGCUGUUCGCCAUUUAAAGUGGUACGCGAGCUGGGUUUAGAACGUCGUGAGACAGUUCGGUCCCUAUCUGCCGUGGGCGCUGGAGAACUGAGGGGGGCUGCUCCUAGUACGAGAGGACCGGAGUGGACGCAUCACUGGUGUUCGGGUUGUCAUGCCAAUGGCACUGCCCGGUAGCUAAAUGCGGAAGAGAUAAGUGCUGAAAGCAUCUAAGCACGAAACUUGCCCCGAGAUGAGUUCUCCCUGAGACUACAAGUCUCCUGAAGGAACGUUGAAGACGACGACGUUGAUAGGCCGGGUGUGUAAGCGCAGCGAUGCGUUGAGCUAACCGGUACUAAUGAACCGUGAGGCUUAACCUU